rnacentral:ncRNA from 2 species
ACUAAAUAGUUAGGAAUAAGUGAUUUCUUCUUGAGGGAAGGAAUUGAAAAGGAAAGUCAGUAGAAGGCUGACGCGGUACCCGCCACUGUAAAAGGGAAUCAAUUCACAUCAUGUCACUGGGACUUACCUGGGAAGACGUGAAUUGAUGAUGAUCUUGAGCCAGGAGACCUGCUUAUUCUCAAUGUGAAAA